rnacentral:rRNA from 1 species
AUGGAGAAGAGGAAGAAGGAGGAGGAGGAGGAGGAGAAUCCGCCGGCAGCGGAGAGCCUCUGGGGCGACCUGCUCCCGGAGAUCCAGUCGGAGAUCCUGUCGCGGGUGCCAUACCGGUCGCUCUGCCGCUUCAAGUGCGUGUCCACGGCGUGGCUGGCGCUCUGCUCCGACCCGGCCGUCCGCAGGAGGUCGCCGCAGACGCUCUCCGGCUUCUUCUGCUACUCCCAAGUGGACGUCGGCGACGGCCGGCGCCAUUACGGCGUCAGCUUCCUCAACCUGUCCGGGUGGGGCCGGCCGAUGGUCGACGACCCCUCCCUCAGCUUCGUGCGCGGCUACUGCCACGUCACGCCCAUUCACUGCUGCGGCGGCAUCCUCAUCUGCUGCUGCUGGAAGUUUGACAUGAGCGACGAGGCGGAUUUUGUCGUGUGCAACCCUGCCACCAAGGAGAUCUGGGCCGUGCUGCCGGUGCCCCGGAACGAGAUGAUGACGCGCCUCAACACCGCUCGCCUGUGCUUUGACCCCGCCGCUCCCCGCCGCUUCAAGGUGUUUGUGUUCGUGCAAAGUUUCGCUGGGGUUCAGAGGGUGGAGGUCUACUCUUCAGACACCGGGCAGUGGACCUCCGUUGGGAGUGCGUGGAGCUCCCAGAACCUCAUGAUUGGCGAGGAAUCGGGAUGCGUCUACUUCAAUGGAUCUCUGCAUCUGGCUGUCUGCCAUCCUGUGGUCAAGGUGGACUGGGAGGGAGUGAUACGCUCCAUGGUCACUUUUGACGCAGAGAGGGAAACCUGGAGGAGGAUCCGUAUGCCGGACACCAGCAAUAACGGUUUCUUUGGGCUGUCGCAGGGACGCCUAUACACCGCGCGUGUAGAAAAUGAAGGUAAAUGCCGGCUCUUGGUCUGGGUUCUCGAGGAUCAUGCUAGCGGACUGUGGACCUUGAAGUGUACUGCCAGCAUUCUUGAACUGCUAGGAAGCCCUUGCCGUGCACCCAACGAAUUCUACCAGCCGGUUGCGAUCCAUCCAGAGUGCAAUCUGAUAUUCCUUCAAGAUGCGGGGCAGGAAGCAUUGCUUAUGUCCUACAAUAUGGAUACCGGUAAACUGGAUAUUGUCUGCUCUCUUGGAGACCGCUGGGCGCAAAGAUUUCACCCGUACAUUCCCUGUUUUGUGGAGAAGCCGCCCGUUCCUCAGUGA